rnacentral:rRNA from 1 species
AUUGAACGCUGGCGGCAGGCCUAACACAUGCAAGUCGAGCGGAUGAAGGGAGCUUGCUCCUGGAUUCAGCGGCGGACGGGUGAGUAAUGCCUAGGAAUCUGCCUGGUAGUGGGGGAUAACGUCCGGAAACGGGCGCUAAUACCGCAUACGUCCUGAGGGAGAAAGUGGGGGAUCUUCGGACCUCACGCUAUCAGAUGAGCCUAGGUCGGAUUAGCUAGUUGGUGGGGUAAAGGCCUACCCAGGCGACGAUCCGUAACUGGUCUGAGAGGAUGAUCAGUCACACUGGAACUGAGACACGGUCCAGACUCCUACGGGAGGCAGCAGUGGGGAAUAUUGGACAAUGGGCGAAAGCCUGAUCCAGCCAUGCCGCGUAUGUGAAGAAGGUCUUCGGAUUGUAAAGCACUUUAAGUUGGGAGGAAGGGCAGUAAGUUAAUACCUUGCUGUUUUGACGUUACCAACAGAAUAAGCACCGGCUAACUUCGUG